AACGUAGAGUGGGGUAAGAUAUAGCCGUUUGAAGGCGCACUACCUCUCCCAUUACACAAACUCACGUGUAUCUCACAUGCUCACAUAUGAGUGAGAUGUUAUACCAUGAGACACACAUACAUUUAGCCUAUUAGCUUUGAUUUAAUCUCAGCCUUACAUUUCAAAACUAAGAGAAAAGAGACUUUGAAUUAUAAUGAAACAGAACACAACAAACACAAGGCAGCUGCAAGGCUUAAACAUCAACACUCUCCUCUAAGCUGGCAGCUGACUUUACUCCUAGCAUUUCUCUGAAAUCGUUGAACUUCUCCUUUGGUAGUGCCUUUGUCAGGAUAUCUGCCAUUUGUUCUUCAGAUUUGCAAUAAACAAGUUCAAUCUCAUUCUCUUGUAUUGCAUCUCUGAUGAAAUGAAAUUUCCUGCUAAUGUGUCUUGUUUUCUGAUGAAACACAGGAUUCUUGGCAAUAGUUAUUGCUGAAGUGUUAUCACACAUUAGCACAGUAGGUUCAACUUGUUCUUCUCCGAAGUCUUCCAACACAAAUCUUAACCAUUUGGCCUGAGAUGUUGCUUCAGCAGCACUUACAUAUUCUGCUUCUGCAGUGGAUAAUGCCACUAUGUUUUGUUUAACUGAUGCCUAAAAGAACACACCUGAGCCAAGAUUGAAAGCAUACCCUGAUGUACUUUUCAUGUCAUCAAUACUCCCAGCCCAGUCACUGUCACAAUAUCCAAUAAGAACUGUUGACUUUCCUUUUACAUAUUCAAUGCCAAAAUCCAUAGUACCUUGAAUGUAUCUCAGUACUCUUCUUGCUGUUCCCAUAUGUUUCUUAGUUGGACCAUGCAUGAAUCUUGCCAAGAGACUAGUACCAAACAUUAUAUCUGGUCUAGUAGCAGUAAGAUACAGAAUACUUCCCACCAAUUUCCUGUAUUCAGACUCAUCUGCAGCUUCACUCCCAUCAUUCUUGCAUAACCUUUCAUUUGCUGCCAGUGGUGUUACCACAGACUUACAACCUUGUAGUCCAAAUUUCUCCAGCAGUUUCAUUGCAUAUUUCUUCUGAUGUAUGAAGAUGCUUUUCUUGGUUUGAACAAUUCCCAUACCAAGAAAAUGAUGUAGAAUCUCAAAUCAGUCAUCUCAUAAUGCUGCAUCAUGUCGUUUUUAAAUCUGUCAAGCAUUGUGUCACUACUUCCAGUGUACACAAUAUCAUCAACAUAGACAGAAACUAUGAGAAUCCCUGACUUUUCAACCUUAGUAUAUAAGGUGGCUUCAUUAGGACUUCUUUUAAAACCUGCCUUGGUGAAGUAAGAAUCAAUUUCAUCAUACCAAGCUCUUGGAGCUUGUUUAAGACCAUAUAAUGCCUUACUUAACUUAUACACUUUAUCCUCCUUGCCUUGUAUGACAAAUCCUUGAGGCUGAUCAACAUAAACUUCCUCUUUGAGUACACCAUUAAGGAAUGCAGAUUUUACAUCUAACUGGAAUAGUUGCCAUUCUUUCUGAGCUGCAAGUGCAAUCAAAGUCCUUAUGGUGUCAAGCCUAGCAACUGGUGCAAAGGUCUCAUUAAAGUCAAUGCCUGGCUUCUGUGAAUAACCUUUUGCAACCAGUCUAGCUUUGUUUUUCUGAAUGCUUCCAUCAAGGUUCAGUUUUGUUUUGUAUACCCACUUCACACUUAUCACAGGUUUGCUAGAUGGUCUAUCUACCAGCAUCCAUGUAUUAUUCCUCUCAAUCAUGUCUAGCUCAGCUUGCAUAGCUUUCAUCCAAGACAAAUCUAUGGCAGCCUCUUCAUAAUUCUCGGGUUCCAUAAUGCAUACAUUACACUGUGCAAUGACUUCAUUUAAGGAUCUCCAUUUCUUUGGAGUAGAAUCAUAACUCUGUGAUAGAUCAAUGUUUGAGCUUGGAUCAUCAGCAUUAGUAUUCAAAUCAUCUAGUGAAGUAUCAGAAAUAACCUCAGGAAAUACACUGCCAUCUUGAACAUUUGACACUUGAGUUAGAUUAGAUUCUGCCAUAUCAGUAGUGAUCGAUACACUGGACUGUUUUCCAGAGCUGUCAUCCCAAUCCCAUCUAGCACUCUCAUCAAAUACUACAUCUCUAGACAAUAUAAUCUUACUAGUGAUAGGAUCAAAUAAUCUGUAUCCUUUCUCACUGGUUCCAUAACCCACAAACACGCAUUUGUGACUGUUGCACUCAAGUUUGUGUCUUAAAUUCAUGGGAACAUGAACAUAGCAUACUGACCCAAAAAUCUUCAAGUGUGCAAUUCCAGGUUUUCUUCCACUAUAGGAUUCAAAAUGAGUCUUUUUAUCCAAAGCCUUAGUGGGACAUCUGUUGAGGAGAUACACUGCAGUGUGCACAGCUUCUGCCCAAAACUGGUAUGGCAUGCCCUUUUCAUGUAACAUAGUUUUUGCCAUCUCCACCACAGUUCUAUUCUUUCUUUCUGACACACCAUUCUGUUGUGGUGUGUAUGACAUGGUUAGUUGUCUUUGAAUCCCAGAAACAUUGCAAUAGUCACUGAAUUCAGAAGACAAGAACUCACCACCUCUAUCACUUCUUAGAUACUUGAUUUUGUACCCACACUGCAAUUCUGUCAUUGCUUUGAACCUUUUGAAAUACUCCAAUGCCUCAGAUUUGUACCUCAGAAAGUAGACCCAUGUCAUUCUCGUACAAUCAUCGGUGAACAGAAUGAAGUACUUGUUUCCAGCAUUUGAGGCAAUUUGCAUUGGACCACAGAUAUAAGUAUGUAUCAAUUCAAGUGGGAAUUUAGCUCUCCAAGCAGAUUCUCUUGGAACUCAUCUCUAUGUUGCUUACCAAGCAUACAUCCUUCACAGACAUUCUUGGAAUUUUCCAAGUGAGGUAGCCCAUGAACCAUUUCUUGCUCCCUGAGUUGCAGCAAACUCCUUGUGUUUAAGUGCCCUAACCUCUUGUGCCAAAUCUGAAUGCAAUGAGAUACACUAGCUUUUAAUGCUAGUGAUGUGGCAUGCAUCAUUGUUAAAGGAAAACAUCUGUUGCUAGUCAUUUGAACCUUAGCAACCAGUCCAUUCAAGUUCCAGCUAUCAAAGAUACAAACUGCAUUAUCACCAAUAGCAGAUAGUAACCAUGUUCCAACAUUUGCCCCACAAACCAGGCGCUAGCAUUACUUCUUGUAUGUGCUUUCUUCCCAUCUUGGUUUCAAUGACUAGUGUGCCUAUUCCUGCUACACUCACAACUUCACCAGUUCCCAUUUUUACUUUUGCAUUCAGAUUUCUACUCACAUUCACCAUCAAGCUUUCAUUUCCUGUCAUGUGGUUGCUACAACCACUGUCAAUAUACCAAGUGUUAUUGACCUUCACCUGAGACACAGAGUUGCAAGCAAAAAAUAAUGUUCCCAUAUCAUCAACCUGAUUUGCAUAGUUAGCCUUCUGCACCACUUUGUUCCCAUUACAGUUUCUGACUUCAUGACCAAAUUUAUUGCAAUUUGUGCAUUUAGGUUUUCCUUCAAACCAGCACUUUCCAUAGUGCAGUUUAUCACAGUGUUUGCAAGCUGUUUUGUUCGAAUCAUGAGAAUUAUUCUGCUUAGAGAUAAAAUUAGGCUUAGUAUCCCACUUUUUCCCUUUGUUCUUCAACUUUUCCUUGAUUUCUGUGUACCAGAGAACCCACUGGGUUUUUGAAACUUAGACACAACAUUUAGACUAGCAAAUGCCUUUUCAGUAGAGUGAUUAGUAUGCAUAUCAAGCCUUUGUUCAUAACCCUUCAGAGAAGCAACCACUUCUUGGAUUUCAAGUGUUUCAAUAUCCUUUGAGUGUUCAAUCACAGCACAGAUAGAGUCAUAACUUCUAGGCAAGCUUAUAAGUAAUUUUUUAACAACCCUCUCCCUAGAUAGUUCUUCACCAUAACUCCUCAUUUGAUUCAUGAUGUCAAACAGUUUAGUAAGAUAUGCAGACAAAGAUUCAUCAUCUCUCAUCCUAGUAUACUCAAACUCUCUGCGUAAACCUUGUAAUUUCACAUUUCUAACCUGUUUAUCACCUCUGAAUUCUUGAUGUAGGAUAUCCCAAGCUCCUUUGGAGGUUUCUUCAUUAGAAAUCCUGGGAAAAAUCUGAUCAGACACAGCUCCUUGAAUCAACCCAAUGGCCUUAGCAUCCUUCAUUAUGAUCUCCGCAACGUUUGUUGACAUUUGAGUAGCUGCAUCCUUCUCCUUCUUUUCAUCAGCUAUCUCAACCACAGUAGAUGACUCUGGGAUAGUAAACCCAGUCUCUACAAGAUCCCAAAGUCCAUGAGACCUGAGAAUGGUUCGCAUUCUGAUAUUCCAGAAUUCAUAGUUCUCGCCAUUGAAAAUGGGAGUACGAAGUUCAGAACUCAUUGAUCCAGCCAUGUUAGACACAGAUCUUCGAUUUGAAGAUUUAAGAAACUCGAUUCUUCAGCGAUUCACUGAAGAACCCAGAAAACACAGAUUCACGCCCAGAUUAAAGCGAUGAACUAGGCUCUGAGGCCAUGUUAGAGUUCUAUGGAACAGCAGAGCACAAAACCAAGAAGAAAUCAAUAAGAUUUUGAUUUCAACCAAGAACGAAAACGAAAAUGGAGAUGCGAAGAAGAUGAAGAGCUCUGUGCAUUUUUUGAUUUCAUUCAGCUAUGACUGAAAAUGAUUAAAAAGCUACAAACGUAGAGUGGGGUAAGAUAUAGCCGUUUGAAGGCGCACUACCUCUCCCAUUACACAAACUCACGUGUAUCUCACAUGCUCACAUAUGAGUGAGAUGUUAUACCAUGAGACACACAUACAUUUAGCCUAUUAGCUUUGAUUUAAUCUCAGCCUUACAUUUCAAAACUAAGAGAAAAGAGACUUUGAAUUACAAUGAAACAGAACACAACAAACACAAGGCAGCUGCAAGGCUUAAACAUCAACAAU
rnacentral:lncRNA from 1 species